AAACACUCGAUGUGCACUUUGAGGGCUAUAUCUAACCCUUCAUUGUAAACAUUGGCAUUGGUGAAGUCAUGGUUUCUGCAUUCUGCUGAGAGUGAUCUCCCUUUCGGGAGCUUGAGCUCACAAGCUGUGGGCUGCACCCUCCAGCGAGAAAAUCCCAUGUACGAGGUGCACGAGCCCAAAACGGGCGUUUACAAGGACGGGGAAGAACUCUUGGGGCAAGAUUUGGACCCCGGUGUUACCUCGUCACAGAGGGGGCCAGCGACGAUGCCACAAAAGUUUGGCUGGUAAAAAACUCGCGGGGCAAGUUUUGGUGCCAUCGCCAGUGGCCCUCUAUCCGACGACAGUAACACCGUGGUCCAAAUAGGUCCCGCAAGCUCUGGUGAAGACGCUGCUGGAGUAGAACUGGAACUCGAAUCCCCCGGCGUUGAUGGCCACGGAAACUGGUUGAUUUGCGACUGCCUUUUGCAAUGCCUUCUCGCUAUUGGCGGGACUGACUUCACAGCUCUUUAUGUUUGCGGCGGGGUGCGAUGCCGAUCGACAUCGCAUUCACUGUCCAUACCUGCGCGUGGAUAGUUCAUAUCGGUUGUGAGGUUGUGCUUCUUGAUGAACUGGAAUGCGCUAUCCAUGUAGCCGCCUUCGCAUCCUUGGUCCUGGCCACCGAUGUCGCAGUCGACCAACUCCUGCUCAGAGAGAGAAAUCAAUUUUCCAGUGGUUAUUCUGUGAAUGCCCUCCACAGCCACUGUGCUCCUACGAGGCCGCAUCUUUCAAGUACAGAAACGUCACCACAGCGCCUUCUAGCAUGGAUUGGAGAAGGAAGGGAUCCGUGAUGCCGAUUAAGAACCAAGGCGAAUGUGGACUGUCGUUCCUGUUUUCGUUGCAAAAACGUAGGAUCUUGCUGGGAAUUUUCAGCGGUGGCUGCUGUGGAAGGAAUUCACCAAAUAACCAUGGCGAAAUUGAUUUCUCUCUCCGAGCAAGAGUUGGUCAAUUGUGACAGUCGGUGGCCAGGACCAAGGAUGCGAAGGCGGCUAUAUGGAUAGCGCAUUCCAGUUCAUCGAGAAGCACGAACUCACAACCAAGACGAACUAUCCCUACACAGGCGUGGAUGGCGAAUGCAAUGUCGAAUCGGCAUCGCACCCACCACGAACAUAAAGGGCUAUGAAGACGUUCACGCCAACAGCAAGAAGGCAUUGCGAAAGGCGGUCGCCAAUCAGCCAGUUUCUGUGGCCAUUGAAGCCGGAGGAUUCGAGUUCUAGUUCUGCUCCAGCAGCGUCUUCACCAGAGCUAGCAGGACCAAUUUGGACCACGAUGUUACCGCCAUCGAAUAUGGGGCCAGCGACGAUGGCACCAAAUUUUGGCUGGUGAAGAACUCGUGGGGCCAGGCAUGGAGCGAAGGGUGUUACAUAUGGAUGCAGUGCGAUGUUGGAGCAAGGGAAGGCCUCUGCGGCAUAGCCAUGAACGCCUCUUAUCCUACUGCAUGAUGUAAAUACAUUUUUACGUGAUGUGUUUAUUGCAUACUGACAUCUCGUUAAGUAAUCAAGUACAUCUAUAUGCCGAGUGAUUGGAAUGUAAUAUCGAAAUUUCAUAUAUCUGCAAACCUAGGUUGCUUGCUUAGCUCUACAUAUAGAGCAAA